rnacentral:rRNA from 1 species
AAUAGAUACCCGGGUAGUCCACGCCGUAAACGAUGAGUGCUAAGUGUUAGAGGGUUUCCGCCCUUUAGUGCUGCAGCUAACGCAUUGAGCACUCCGCCUGGGGAGUACGGUCGCAAGACUGAAACUCAAAGGAAUUGACGGGGGCCCGCACAAGCGGUGGAGCAUGUGGUUUAAUUCGAAGCAACGCGAAGAACCUUACCAGGUCUUGACAUCCUCUGACAACUCUAGAGAUAGAGCGUUCCCCUUCGGGGGACAGAGUGACAGGUGGUGCAUGGUUGUCGUCAGCUCGUGUCGUGAGAUGUUGGGUUAAGUCCCGCAACGAGCGCAACCCUUGAUCUUAGUUGCCAGCAUUUAGUUGGGCACUCUAAGGUGACUGCCGGUGACAAACCGGAGGAAGGUGGGGAUGACGUCAAAUCAUCAUGCCCCUUAUGACCUGGGCUACACACGUGCUACAAUGGAUGGUACAAAGGGCUGCGAGACCGCGAGGUCAAGCCAAUCCCAUAAAACCAUUCUCAGUUCGGAUUGUAGG